rnacentral:rRNA from 1 species
UACGUAGGGUGCGAGCGUUAAUCGGAAUUACUGGGCGUAAAGCGUGCGCAGGCGGUUCGUUAAGUUCGUUGUGAAAGCCCCGGGCUCAACCUGGGAACUGCAAUGGAAACUGGCGGGCUUGAAUGCGGCAGAGGGGGGUGGAAUUCCGCGUGUAGCAGUGAAAUGCGUAGAGAUGCGGAGGAACACCGAUGGCGAAGGCAGCUCGCUGGGACGUUACUGACGCUGAGACGCGAAAGCGUGGGGAGCAAACAGG